rnacentral:tRNA from 1 species
UCCGGAGUGGCGCAAUGGCUCAGCGCAUUGGACUUUUACCAAGGUGAAUCUAAAAUCCAAGGGUUCGGGGUUCGAGUCCCCGCUUCGGAG